CGAGGGUGUGAAGCAUUCUGUGGCCCAAAAGGUCACGGAACUUCGUGGGAGAGCACGUCCUCAGUCACCGCACUAGCUCAACAGGCAGAGCAAUCGUUCCUAAACGAUGGGUCGCCGGUUCAAAUCCGGCGUGCAUCCAACGAGAUAUUGUCAAGACUUGUGGAUGAGCGAGUUUCAGGCGGCCUCCUCGGUGGGUGAGGUGGAGUCGGUUUCGGCGAGUUUUCCCUUCUCGAAGGUGGCGCCGUCGCGGACCAGUUUCACCAGGUUGCGAGCGACCCGGACGACGUCGUCGCGGAACUCGCGGGGGUAGGGCCUUGCCAUGGGGACAUCCUUCCAGCCCGCCCAUGCUGGGCAAGCCAACUCAGAUGUCACCUAUUCGUGCAGCAGACCCAAGCGUGCCUUUCCGCCAGCGCUGCAACGCUGACUUGAUCAAGUGACUACCGGGAUCAUAUUUGCGGGAAGGCACGCCCUCCCAGAUCCACAAGUCUUGAUCAUUCCUCGCAUCCAACAAGCGAAAGACUUUCCCUGCCACGGCUCAACAGCGCCGUAAUCCUCGACUCCACAAGGGGAAUCGAGGCGGUCGUGAACUCGCAAGGUGAUCGGCCGUCCGUGAGGCGGUAGUGCAGCGCAGAGGUUGGCUGCCCCUGCGCGAAGCGAAACCUGCGGAGUAGACCGUGGCAUGACGAGUGGUUGCCGCAAGCAACCCGGCGCGGCGGUUACCAGUGGGAGCUGGUGGACAAGUCGGGAAACGAUAAUCCGACGAGAGACCGUCAUGGGUGGGUGCAGUCUCAGCCC
rnacentral:sRNA from 1 species